rnacentral:piRNA from 1 species
UAAAGAUACUGCUACCCUUCUUGGCUCCGC